GACGAACGCUGGCGGCGUGCUUAACACAUGCAAGUCGAACGGAAAGGCCCUGCUUUUGUGGGGUGCUCGAGUGGCGAACGGGUGAGUAACACGUGAGUAACCUGCCCUUGACUUUGGGAUAACUUCAGGAAACUGGGGCUAAUACCGGAUAGGAGCUCCUGCUGCAUGGUGGGGGUUGGAAAGUUUCGGCGGUUGGGGAUGGACUCGCGGCUUAUCAGCUUGUUGGUGGGGUAGUGGCUUACCAAGGCUUUGACGGGUAGCCGGCCUGAGAGGGUGACCGGCCAAAUUGGGACCGAGAUACGGCCCAGACUCCUACGGGAGGCAGCAGGGGGGAAUAUUGCACCAUGGGCGGAAGCCUGAUUCAGCAACGCCGCGUGCGGGAUGACGGCCUUCGGGUUGUAAACCGCUUUCGCCUGGGACGAAGCGUGAGUGACGGUAAUGGGUAAAGAAGCACCGGCCAACUACGUG
rnacentral:rRNA from 1 species